rnacentral:rRNA from 1 species
GACGUAGGGGGCGAGCGUUGUCCGGAUUUACUGGGCGUAAAGCGCGUGCAGGCGGUUCGUUAAGUCCCGUGUGAAAUCCUCCAGCUCAACUGGAGAACGCCGCGGGAAACUGGCGGGCUUGAGGGCGGUAGAGGGUGAUGGAAUUCCCGGUGUAGCGGUGAAAUGCGUAGAUAUCGGGAGGAACGCCAGUGGCGAAGGCGGUCACCUGGGCCGUCCCUGACGCUGAGACGCGAAAGCUAGGGGAG